AAGACUAUAGACCUGCGGAGUACCUGCGGAGGGAUCAUUACCGAGUGCGGGCCCUCUGGGUCCAACCUCCCACCCGUGUUUAUUGUACCUUGUUGCUUCGGCGGGCCCGCCAUUCUGGCCGCCGGGGGGCUUGCCCCCGGGCCCGCGCCCACCGAAGACACCCUCGAACUCUGUCUGAAGAUUGUAGUCUGAGUGGAAUUAUAAAUUAUUAAAACUUUUAGCAAUGGAUCUCUAGAUCGG
rnacentral:misc_RNA from 1 species